UACGGGGGGGGCAAGCGUUGUUCGGAAUUACUGGGCGUAAAGGGCGCGUAGGCGGCCUGCUAAGUCGGUUGUGAAAUCCCCCGGCUCAACCGGGGAACUGCGUCCGAGACUGGUGGGCUCGAAUCCGGGAGAGGGAUGUGGAAUUCCAGGUGUAGCGGUGAAAUGCGUAGAUAUCUGGAGGAACACCGGUGGCGAAGGCGGCAUCCUGGACCGGCAUUGACGCUGAGGCGCGAAAGCCAGGGGAGCAAACG
rnacentral:rRNA from 1 species